rnacentral:sRNA from 1 species
AGCUCACGCUGCAGGCCAUCAAGGACACAGAGGCCCAGGUGGACAGGCUGCGGCAGGAGGCCCAGAAGGCCGAGGAGGCGCUGGCUAUGGCCAGGCUGGAGCUUCGGGAGCAGACGCAGGAGGGGGAGGAAGAGGCGCCUGGGCUGAAGUGCCAGGUCACCGAGCUGCACGAUGUGCUGAUGAAAGAUGUAGGCAACCGCAUCCGUGCCGAUGGCCGGUCAGUUCUCCGGGCCAGACGUGGGCGAUUUGGGGUUUGGACAGACAGCAGUGACCUGAUGGGUGUCCCCAGGUGGCCUCUUGUUAUUGACCCUUUGGGCCAGGCGGCCACCUUCCUGCGCUACCAGGAUACCAACUAUGUGGACACGGUGAACCCGGAGCCCCUGAGGCCGGAGACGAUGUGGCUGGCUCUGCUGGGGGCUCUGCGGUGA